rnacentral:misc_RNA from 1 species
CGCACAUUGCGCCCUUUGGUAUUCCGGGGGGCAUGCCUGUUCGAGCGUCAUUUGCACCCUCAAGUAUGACUUGGUAUUGGGCACCCGUCUUCCCCCCGGGGGAGGCCACCCGAAUGGCAAUGGCGGUUCCCCCGGGAGCUCAGCGUAGUAAUUUUUCGUCGCCGAGUCCUCCCCCGGGAUCCAGCCGGGCGAUCGCCCGAACCCAUCUUUCAAUGAUUGACCUCGGAUCAGGUAGGGAUACCCGCUGAACUUAA